rnacentral:rRNA from 1 species
GAAUUCAACUCCUACGGGAGGCAGCAGUGGGGAAUAUUGGACAAUGGGCGCAAGCCUGAUCCAGCCAUGCCGCGUGUGUGAAGAAGGCCUUUUGGUUGUAAAGCACUUUAAGCGAGGAGGAGGCUACUUGGAUUAAUACUCUAGGAUAGUGGACGUUACUCGCAGAAUAAGCACCGGCUAACUCUGUGCCAGCAGCCGCGGUAAUACAGAGGGUGCGAGCGUUAAUCGGAUUUACUGGGCGUAAAGCGUGCGUAGGCGGCUUCUUAAGUCGGAUGUGAAAUCCCUGAGCUUAACUUAGGGAUUGCAUUCGAUACUGGGAAGCUAAAGUAUGGGAGAGGAUGGUAGAAUUCCAGGUGUAGCGGUGAAAUGCGUAGAGAUCUGGAGGAAUACCGAUGGCGAAGGCAGCCAUCUGGCCUAAUACUGACGCUGAGGUACGAAAGCAUGGGGAGCAAACAGGAUUAGAAACCCCGGUAGUCCAGGCGUU